rnacentral:misc_RNA from 1 species
CUUCCGUAGGUGAACCUGCGGAAGGAUCAUUAAAAAAUUGGACUUUUUGAGAGUCUAUUAAUAAUCCUCACUCUUUGUGAAUUUGUUUGUUUGAAAUAAUUUUUUAAAAAUUAUUGAAUGUCUUUCCCUAGUUUGUUUGGCUUUUGAUUGAAACUCCAGGGGAAUGGCAAACAAUAAUAUUUAAAGACUUUUUUUAAAAUAAACUUUUGUAUUCAUUUGUCUAAAAUUAUUUUUAUAAUAUAAAAACAACUUUUGACAAUGGAUCUCUUGGUUCUCGCAACGAUGAAGAACGCAGCAAAAUGCGAUAAGUAGUGUGAAUUGCAGAAUACGUGAAUCAUCGAAUCUUCGAACGCAUAUUGCACUUUUUUAGUUUACUAAAAAAGUAUGUCUGUUUGAGUAUCAGUAAAAUAUUCUCAUAAAAAAUAUUAUUUUUUAUGGUUAUGAGUGUUUUACAACGAUACAAGUUGUUUCACUUUAAAUUCUUUGUUAUCAAAAAAGAUCAUUAAACUAAUUUUAAAGAUUUUUUUAAAAUUGGAUAAAAUUUUCCUGUAAAAAGGAAUAACCUAAACAAUUUUAAAAAAUAUUAAAAUUAGCGAUUCUUUUGAAAAAAAAGGAAAAGUUAAAUUAACUUGAUCUCAAAUCAGAUAAGAGUACCCGCUGAACUUAAGCAUAUCAAUAAGCGGAGGAAAAGAAACUAACAAGGAUUCCCUUAGUAACGGCGAGUGAAGCGGGAAGAGCUCAAAUUUGAAAUCUUCAAGGUUUACCUUGACGAAUUGUAGUUUAAAGAAGUGUUUUCUGUUGGAGUUUUGGUAAAAGUUCUUUGGAAUAGGACAUCAUAGAGGGUGAGAAUCCCGUAUUUGACCAUUACUUUCCAGCUGUGUGAUACACUUUCAAAGAGUCGGAUUGUUUGGGAAUGCAGUCCAAAAUGGGUGGUAAAUUUCAUCUAAAGCUAAAUAUUGGCGAGAGACCGAUAGCGAACAAGUACCGUGAGGGAAAGAUGAAAAGAACUUUGAAAAGAGAGUUAAACAGUACGUGAAAUUGUCAAAAGGGAAGCGUUUGACACCAGUGUUGUUUUCUCGAAAAUCAAUUAAAAAUGGCUGAUUUUGUGUUGUAUUGACUUUAUCGGCUUUCUGCACUUUUUUCAUGUCUUUUUUAAUGCACUUUUCGUUUAACAAGUCAACAUCAAUUUCUUUUGUUGUAAAAGAGUCAUUGGAAGGUGGCUUUCGCUUCGGUGAAAGUGUUUAUAGCCUUUGACCUCUGCAAUCGGAGAGAUUGAGGUCUGCAGCGUAGAUCCUUCGGGGUUAGAUACAUUUGUGCUAAGUUAUAGUUUUUCAUAGACAACAUGUUGACUAUGAUUAAUCAUGUAGCUUACUCGCUUAUGCUAUUU